CCGCCCUCCUCCCCUUCCAUCACCCCUAGUUCGUUUCCCAGAGUUAGGAGUCUCUCAUGUUCUGGCUCCCUUUCCGAUAUUUCCCACUCAUUUUUCUCCUUUCCUUGGGGCAGUAGUAAUACAUCAGCGUCUUGUCCCAUGGCAACUCCCGGUGCACAGCACUCCCAGACCCCCCAGGGGGCGUAUUUCCAGGAACUCCCAGAGGGCACAUUCUAGAAAGUUCCACCUGAGAGGCGUUACUGCCGUUGUGUGAGGUGCUCGACGGGCUCCUGGAACAAGGUGAGGGUUUUCCCACUGGGAGUGUGGAUUCUUUUUCCCUGGGGGCUCUCUGUGCCCUGGAUGUGCCUUUUCCUUGGCUGUGGUAUGUUCCGGGGGGAUCUACUUCAGCCUGUGGAGACUUUUGCUUGGUUGUGAUCUGAACUCAGGGGGAGGCAUGUCCUGGGCAGGUUAUCUCCGCCAUGUUGGAGAGGAGGCUGUUGCUUGGUUUUGUCUCUGGGUUCCGUGAGGGACUUUCUUCGUGGAACCCUCUCAGGACCCGUGUGGGGACGCGACUUUGGGUGAUUAUCUUAGUCCUAUGCCCGAGGAAAGAUGUCCGAUAAAGCAGAGGAGUUUGCUGUUGGGCCUGAAAAUCAAAUGAAACGUCGUGGAGAACCCAUUAGUCCUCCUCCAUCUAAGAGAAUGAUGAGCAUGGCGCUGCUGUCAAUGAAACAGGAAGGAGAGGGAGUAUCCUACCCUGGGGGCUCAGCCAUGUCAUUGGAAGAAUAUGAAAGAGUCUUCAAAUUGCUUGAAGGAGUGCAAGGACCUCUGGAAUUGCGGGAAAAAAUUUGUUGUAUUUUCCGUCAAGGGAACAGCAAGGUGGGUAUAGAGAGAAACUCUAUAGCACAUUGGGCCCAGUGCAGUGCUGGGCAUGUGGUGGGAUCAGGCCCUGCCUGGCAUUUCUCAAACCCUGGUCAUUAUCAUUCAGAGUUCAUGUUGUCUCUAGUUGUUUAGAUUGAUAUUCUCUGAGUCUCAUUCUUCCAAGUUCAAGGAGACUUCUGUUCAUACUGGAGUUUGAGGUAGGUGUUGACUGUGAACUGACAUUCUUUGUUUACGGAUUCAUCCCUUACCAUGAUGGUCCAUUUUCUAUUCCCAUGUAUAUUGUAAGCUCCCCUUUCUCUCCCCCACAGAGCUUCCCACAUUGUGGGUUCUUUGGGUGUCUUUUGGUUAAUGACUUAUUUCUUUAUUUUCAGAUUUAAAAGGCAAGACUUAAUAAGGCACCUGGAGAAGGUACUAGAAAAAUUAGAAUCUGACUACUUCCUCAACAAAGACAAAUUAUACCCCAAACUUAUAAUUCUGUUAUCAAAAUUAUCAGUGAGUAACCAGAACCAGUUUGCUGUCCUAGAAUGGAACCGGAUAUUGUUGAUGCUUUCUAGCACAUGUUAGUUAAUAAAAUUAUCUUCUUGAGAUUAAGAAAAGGCA
rnacentral:lncRNA from 1 species